AUUAUGCACAUGCCAGCUCCUCCUCACUCCACCCCGGGCCAAGACCCUUUCAGCAGCGCGAGGCCUGCUUAACAUAUGACUCUGGCUGCAUUACUGCGUGGCAUCCCAGCACCCAUUCGAACAUUUCAGCAAUUUUAAACAAGCUCCACUGACAGGGACUAUUAAACGGAAGCCAAAGAAGCACGCCGGGAGAGCACAUUAAUUAUGAGCACGAGAGAAAAUGCUUCUGCAAGAAGGAAUUAAUGAAGAGAACUGCAAAAGAAUGUGUGACGACCUCUUCUGACACGGCAAAAACUUUCCACCCAUGUCACGACAAAGGGGAGAAGGACAAGCAAACAUGAGGAAUGAUCAGUCACCUAAAUACAUGAUGCUGGUGUGUGAACUCCUGACCUGAAUGACUAAAACACCUACUUGGGACUUGUCUUGGACCAUCAGGGCAUUAUGACAUAUUAACCAAGUCAAGCUGCCCAAUUCUUAAAUGUUGUUUGUUUAUUUUUUCAAUCUCCAGAAUGUUAACGUGGCUAAUUAUAUCAGAGAUAAGUUGCUUGCCAAAUAGGA